rnacentral:rRNA from 1 species
CAAUAGCGUAUAUUUAAGUUGCUGCAGUUAAAAAGCUCGUAGUUGGAUUUCUGGUAGGAGUGACCGUUCCGAACUUGAUUGUUCGUGUAUUGUGUUUUCUCCAGCCAUCCUUGUGGAGAACUUUUCUUGCAUUAAUUUGUAGGGAUUGGGACCCGCAUCGUUUACUGUGAAAAAAUUAGAGUGUUUAAAGCAGGCAAUCGCUUGAAUACAUUAGCAUGGAAUAAUAAGAUAGGACUUUGGUACUAUUUUGUUGGUUUGCAUACCAAAUUAAUGAUCAACAGGAACAGUUUGAGGAUAUUCGUAUGAACAUGUCAGAGGUGAAAUUCUUGGAUUUUGAUCAGACGAACUACUGCGAAAGCAUUUAUCAAGGAUGUUUUCAUUAA